UACGUAGGGGGCUAGCGUUGUCCGGAAUCAUUGGGCGUAAAGCGCGUGUAGGCGGUCCGGUAAGUCCGCUGUGAAAGUCGGGGGCUCAACCCUCGAAUGCCGGUGGAUACUGUCGGGCUGGAGUGCGGAAGAGGCGAGUGGAAUUCCUGGUGUAGCGGUGAAAUGCGCAGAUAUCAGGAGGAACACCAAUUGCGAAGGCAGCUCGCUGGGACGUUACUGACGCUGAGACGCGAAAGCGUGGGGAGCAAACAGG
rnacentral:rRNA from 1 species